rnacentral:rRNA from 1 species
UACGUAGGGUGCAAGCGUUAAUCGGAAUUACUGGGCGUAAAGUGUGCGCAGGUGGCCGCGCAAGUCGAGUGUGAAAGCCCCGGGCUUAACUUGGGAAUUGCGCUCGAAACUACGUGGCUCGAGUGUGGCAGAGGAAGGUGGAAUUCCACGUGUAGCGGUGAAAUGCGUAGAGAUGUGGAGGAACACCGAUGGCGAAGGCAGCCUUCUGGGCCAACACUGACGCUCAUGCACGAAAGCGUGGGGAGCAAACAGG